rnacentral:rRNA from 1 species
CAGCAGUCGCCGCGGGAAUACGAAGGGGGCUAGCGUUGUUCGGAAUUACUGGGCGUAAAGCGCACGUAGGCGGAUAUUUAAGUCAGGGGUGAAAUCCCGCAGCUCAACUGCGGAACUGCCUUUGAUACUGGGUAUCUUGAGUAUGGAAGAGGUUAGUGGAAUUGCGAGUGUAGAGGUGAAAUUCGUAGAUAUCCGCAGGAACACCAGUGGCGAAGGCGGCUAACUGGUCCAUAACUGACGCUGAGGUGCGAAAGCGUGGGGAGCAAACAGGAUUAGAGACCCGUGUAGUCCCUGUCUCUUAUAC